GUUGGACUAGAUGACCUUUAAAGAUCCCUUUAGGGACCUAUAGUCCUUUCACAUGGAUAUCAACAGACAAAACACUCCAACCAGGAGUUUAGCAAAAAGGCAGAAAAUGAGGGAUUUGCUUGAAACAAUCUAUAGGGAAUUUAUUUGUCUCUAGUUGGAAAUACAAUUUUUUGUGGAGGAGGUGGAUGGCGGGUAUUGCAAUUUUGAAUCUUUCAGCAAGAAAUAAAUUUCUUUUCUCCAGAAAUGAUAGUACAACCACUCUCAUAGGUCAAUCAGCUUCUGAAUUUUAUACCUUCCAAAUCAUCUGACUUCCGUGGAAUGUCCUCAGACACAUACGAAGAUACAUCUUGAGUGUUAUUAGUCCAUCUACAUGGAAGCAAGUGUCUACUGAAAAUAAACCACAGAAAGAAGACUUGUAUUGUUUUAGAUUCAUUAAAAAUGUAAAGCACACCAAUGAGACCAGGAUUGUUUCUCUUUGGAGUUUCUUUUCUCUUAAGAUCACAGCAAUCUUCUAAUUUCAUUUGAAAAAAUGAUAUGCAUGUAAGUGCUGAAGGAGUGUGUUUGAAGUGAAGUGGAAGCUCCAGUCUAGCAAUCAUACUCUUUAUAUCUGAAAUCUACGUUUGGACAUGGUGUUUGAAAGUGCUGGGAUUUGGCUCCAGUAUAAACAGAUGGAAAGCCCAAUCUCUGACAUUUACUGUUUCAUGCUUUUGAACAUUCAAAGAAUUUGGUCAGAUGGCAAUUUUUUUGAUGGAUGAGGGGAGGAAAGUAGGAAGGGAGGAAGAGAGGAAGAGAAGACUUAUCUCUACAUUUGCUAAAGGAGCAAAGCCUUGUUUCAAUGCAAAGGAAAGGGCAGACAGACAAUGUGGUGCAAUGAAGCAACGCCUCACUGCUCUGGUGCCCAUAGGCAGAUCCAGCUAGUGCACCCUGCUCCUUGUCUUUGGAAAGACCUGGGGAUCCAGGGAAACCCUUGGAAGAGUACAUGGGGCUUUCGUGGCCUGAUCUGCUGUUGCCAGGUGUGGUGUAAGCUGGUGAGACCCUGUCUUGGUGCCAUGUUCAGCUCAGACUCUCUGUUCCUCAGGGUUAUGGUAACCCAGCAUACACAAGCUCAGAGGGAAGGCAGAUGUGAAGGCACUGGCACGUCUUCCCUCCUAACAACAGAAAAUGCUGAAGUGUUAGACACCGAGGAUGAAUCACCCAGAGGUGCAGCUUUCCUGCACUGACUUGUAAAAGCCAGCAACAAGCUGAAUUGGAGGCCAGCCACAAGCAGCCCAAAUGGAGGUGAGAGUAUGUUUAACUGAAGGAAGAAUAAUCUUCAGGGCAGAUGUGCUCAAUAAAGUUAAAGAAAAGACCCUUUGAGAGAAAUAUUUCAUCAAGGUGUUUCCAACACGGACUAUACAUGUUAUCCUUGCUGUGCUGUUCCUGGAAAUAAUCUGUGCUCCUCUUGCUUUAUUCAUGCAGUGGAUGCAUUUGUUCAGGAAAAAACAGUAAAAGUGUUUACUGAAAUGUUUUCUAUUUCCUAAUGGACAGUUUUAUUUUAAACUUACAGUUUAUUUAUUUAUUUUGCGAAAUGCCAUCAGUUUGAAACACUAGGAAAGACCCCUUCCUCAGACACAAGAGGGAUCUGUAGAAACUUCUGUAUAAAAAAUUGUAGCAAAAUUUUCUAAAACAGUAUUUUCAUAGUUAAGGAAAGGAUAGCAAAAACUCUAGUACUUUUUUUGUGGCCUCUGUUCACUGAAACAGAUAACAGGCAAAUAAAAGGGAUACAUCUCAUUGAACUUCAACUGUCUGGAGUUAUGUCCCUGAUCCUAACUUAUUUAGUUUCUAGGAUCCUUUUGUGAUGCCUUGACUGAUCUCAGACUUUUAAAAACGUUCCUAGAUAAAUAGAAAUAUAUUAUUCUUAGGCAUCCAAACCCAAUGACUGUGUUUUCAAAAUGCAGCUGAGUGCUGAAUUACACACUAGCCUGGGUAUUUAUUCCCUGCAAAGAAUGUAUGUUGUAUGUUGGACUCUGAUGACCAAAUUUCCAAAUGGAAACUGGAAAAUGACUAUGUAAUCAAUCAGGUUUUGGAGGCUGAAGGAACUCAGGGAAAAGCUGAUGGAAAGAUUAACACUAAUAUAUAUCAUCUAUUUGUCCUUCCACCUAUAUUAAAUUUUCAUAAUUAUAUUGGUCAGAUAUUGGUAAACAGCAAGAAGGUAGAUGACCCUUCUGAAAAAGAACACAUGAAACUUAAGAGAAACACAAUCUUAGCAAUUCGUUUUGAUGUUAAGAUGUUUGUCUGUCCGUUAUUUUAUUUCACUAGAACUAACAUAAGGGGAGUUUCUCCAAAUCAUACUGCUAAGUUUAGUGAACUUUAAAGCAGGGUUACUUUAUGCAAAAAUUAAUUCUACUUGUUUGUUCUAUCUGGCUGUUUUACAAGUGCUUUGCCCUACGGACUCACUUUGUUUGUACUAGUUUCCGAGAUUUAUUUAGAGACUGAUUUUUUGUGUUCCUGACUCACACAAAAUUGAAGAAACAACAAACUAGUUUUAACAGAGUUUGUAAGAAUUUUGCUAAUGUGAAGAAUAAAGACUGUUCUGUUAACCUGAUUGCGAAACUGAUUGGAGGACUUCUCCAUUCUGUUUUAGUUGGCCCGAGAAAAUAGCAAGCUAUGCACAACAGAUGAUAUAAAGUUUGAGAUUAAACUCUAUUUGCCUGAUUGGAAAAUACAUUAUCUUCUCUUUACAUCCGUGUAGGGUAAAAAAAUGUAUCUUUGCAUUGCAUUUGUUCUCCUCGCUGUUACUAUUAACA
ensembl:lncRNA